rnacentral:rRNA from 1 species
CGUGUAGGCGGCCUGCCAAGUCGGGUGUGAAAGCCCUCGGCUCAACCGAGGAAUUGCACCCGAUACUGGCGGGCUAGAGUCCGGGAGGGGGUAGCGGAAUUCCCAGUGUAGCGGUGAAAUGCGUAGAUAUUGGGAAGAACACCAGUGGCGAAGGCGGCUACCUGGACCGGAACUGACGCUGAGGCGCGAAAGUUAGGGGAGCGAAUG